UGGGGAAUAUUGCACAAUGGGCGCAAGCCUGAUGCAGCCAUGCCGCGUGUAUGAAGAAGGCCUUCGGGUUGUAAAGUACUUUCAGUCGGGAGGAAGGUGUCAAGGUUAAUAACCUUGGCAAUUGACGUUACCGACAGAAGAAGCACCGGCUAACUCCGUGCCAGCAGUCGCGGUAAUACGGAGGGUGCAAGCGUUAAUCGGAAUUACUGGGCGUAAAGCGCACGCAGGCGGUUGAUUGAGUCAGAUGUGAAAUCCCCGGGCUUAACCCGGGAAUUGCAUCUGAUACUGGUCAGCUAGAGUCUUGUAGAGGGGGGUAGAAUUCCAUGUGGAGCGGUGAAAUGCGUAGAGAUGUGGAGGAAUACCGGUGGCGAAGGCGGCCCCCUGGACAAAGACUGACGCUCAGGUGCGAAAGCGUGGGGAGCAAACAGG
rnacentral:rRNA from 1 species